rnacentral:rRNA from 1 species
UACAGAGGGUGCAAGCGUUGUUCGGAAUUAUUGGGCGUAAAGGGUGCGUAGGCGGUGCGGUAAGUCUGUAGUGAAAUCUCUGGGCUCAACUCAGAGUCUGCUAUAGAAACUGCCGUGCUUGAGUGUGGGAGAGGUGAGUGGAAUUCCCGGUGUAGCGGUGAAAUGCGUAGAUAUCGGGAAGAACACCAGUGGCGAAGGCGACUCACUGGACCAUUACUGACGCUGAUGCACGAAAGCUAGGGGAGCAAACAGG